UUGUUUUUGGUUAUCCUGGAGGUUUUGUGGAUUAAGAUGUGUGAGAUGAGGGGUUUAUAGGGACUGGCUGGAGGUAUGCCCCCCCUUCCACCCACACACCCACACACACAUACACACGCACACGCUGUUGUGCAGAAGAUGUUUCUUGGGUGGCUGAGCAAAGAAUCAGGUAUUUGGAUGUCCUGAUUUGACCCUGAGAAAAAUAGCAGCCAUCCACAGAGCUCUGAAACAUACUUCCCACUGCUUGGAAUGGCAGCUCCUCCUCAGAAUACAAGCAAGGAAACGUGUGGCAUCUGGCUACCAUGAGCUGAAGACAAAGCCUACAUGGGGAAAAGUGCAAAACCAGGAGAAUGGGAGAGAAAUGGAGCCACGCACUGAUGCUGUUGUGAAACAUCUCAAUCAAACUGCACCUGAAGACCGCCCUAUCCCUGCAUUUUUCAUUUACAUGAGCCAAUAAACUCUCUCAUUUAAGUCAA
rnacentral:lncRNA from 10 species